ensembl:lncRNA
CAGAGGCGGACAGAGUACACAGCUUCCUUACUUGAGUAAAAGUACAGAUACCCCUUGCUAAAUUUUACUCAAGUACAAGUAAAAGUACUACAGUCAGAUGUCUACUUAAGUAAAAGUACUGAAGUACUUGUUUUUAAAAGUACUUGAGUAUCAAGAGUACAAGAGUAUGUUUUCUAAAUAUUGCAUUACUACUGCCACAGUGCUUACAUUUAUGUAUAGAAAAGUCCUACAUGGAGUUAUGAAAAAUGUUAACACCUUGGAGAAUGUAAAAGGAAUUGAAAGUAAAAUCAAGUAAUUUUCAUCUUUUUACCAUGGCAAUAGCACAAUAGUAUACUUAAGCAAUAGAUCACGCCAGGCUGUGGUAUGUGCUCAUUAUACCACUGUUAAGGGGCGUUGUCCGGCCCCGACGCGCAGCGGAGGGCCGGCGACCCCCUUCACAGUGGUAUAAUGAGCACAUGCCACUGACUGAAGUGAUCUAUUGCUUUUAUACAACGGUUACUGUUAUGGCGAAACGAAAGUCAUAGACACACUACAUUUAAAAAGAAACCAAGAAAGUCAAAGUAGCCGUUUUGUUAAAGACUACCAAAAAGUAGUCCCUCCUGGCUGCCGCUAUGCAUCGACGGUCGCUAUGCAACACACUUUAGCGUCCCUCCGAGAGAAGGCUCCGAUAGAGCGGUUCGCCGGCAAUUUAUCCUAUGGAGCAGUUCACUCGCCGUGUGCUUAAGCUUUCGUUAGUCUCUCCAUCGCCUUGCUCACUUCCGGAGUAACAACAUUUACACCCUCUCCAUCAUCCAACACAUGUUUUACUUUGCAACUGUUUCUACUUCCAGGCGCGGAGUGAUAUGCAAACUUUCACAAAAUGAUCGGGCGUCAUAGCAGUUAUGUAUAUGCUCAUUAUACAACAGUUGGGAACCAAUCAGAUCGCUGGAAUUAGGUCCCCCGUUGUAUAAAGUAUAACAGUAUACUCAAGAACAUAAAAACAAUUGCUCAGCUUACAUAAAUAUGCAAUAUCAGAAAAGAAAAUUCAGCUAACAAUUCUAUGUAUGUGUGAGUUUCUCCGUUUUUUUAUCAAUCAAAUCAACAAUCGUCUCUCAUCUAAUUCUGACCAUGGAGUUGGCUUUGGCGGAAAGCAAAGGUGAUUGCUGAUAGGCUGAAGGCUGUCCUAAUCAGUUUGAGAGGGAAUCACGUUUGAGAGGGAAACAACAAAUUGAGGGUUUCCGUGAUUUUUCUUUUUAGGGGUCCAAGCCAACAGGUUGGAUCCCUAUUGUUUUUGUAAGGAUUUUUAGGGUUAGGGGUCCAAGCCAACAGGAUUGGAUCCCUAUUGUUUUUGUAAGGAUUUUUAUUAUUCUUCACGCCUUGAAAGUGGAACCACAGCCCAAACCGUAAAUGGUGCACACGCGCCAAUUGCAUGACUACAUCCAGAAUCGGCACCGCUACUCAGAUAACAAAAUCCAGACACGCCGGCCACUAGGUGGCGCUAUACCAAGGAAUACGCGUUUGUGGCUAUAACUCCCACACCGAACCUCCCAG